UACGGGGGGGGCAAGCGUUGUUCGGAAUUACUGGGCGUAAAGGGCUCGUAGGCGGCCAACUACGUCGGAUGUGAAAUCCCCAAGCUUAACUUGGGAACUGCAUCCGAUACUGGAUGGCUUGAAUCCGGGAGAGGGAUGCAGAAUUCCAGGUGUAGCGGUGAAAUGCGUAGAGAUCGGAAGGAACACCAGUGGCGAAGGCGGCUACCUGGACAGCUACUGACACUGAGGCGCGAGAGCGUGGGGAGCAAACAGG
rnacentral:rRNA from 1 species